ACGGGUGAGUAACGCGUGGGUAACCUGCCUCAUACAGGGGGAUAACAGUUAGAAAUGACUGCUAACACCGCAUAAUAUAGUGGAACCGCAUGAUUUUGCUAUCAAAUAUUUAUAGGUAUGAGAUGGGCCCGCGUCUGAUUAGCUAGUUGGUGGGGUAAAAGCCUACCAAGGCGACGAUCAGUAGCCGGCUUGAGAGAGUGACCGGCCACAUUGGGACUGAGACACGGCCCAAACUCCUACGGGAGGCGGCAGUGGGGAAUAUUGGACAAUGGGGGAAACCCUGAUCCAGCGACGCCCGCGUGAGUGAAGAAGUAUUUCGGUAUGUAAAGCUCUAUCAGCAGGGAAGAUAAUGACAGUACCUGACUAAGAAGCCCCGGCUAACUACGUGCCAGCAGCUGC
rnacentral:rRNA from 1 species